rnacentral:lncRNA from 1 species
AUGGGUUGCCGGGCGAGAUGUAACCGGCUGCUGAGCUGGCAGUUCUGUGUCGCUAGGCUUCGGCCCGGCCGCCGCCACACAUAAGCUGCGAUGAGGAGCUUUACGACUUCCCGGUCUUCGGGGCCGGGCGCAGCAAGGGCCAGACUCUGCGCUAGCAGGCGCUGCGCGCCAACCGGCCGGCACCUGUCGCAGAAGGUGCAACCGAUCGCACUGUCGCGCAGAAGCUCCUCAAUGGCCAGCACCAGCUGCAGCCCCGGCCGCCCACUCGCCUCACUUGAGCCUGUCUGGCAGCCUGCUAUCAAUUAUAUUGAUAGUAAAUUUGAGGACUACCUAAAUGCAGAAUCGCGAGUGAACAGAUGUCAGAUGCCUGGUAACAGGGUGCAGUGUUGUUUAUACUUCAUUGCUCCUUCAGGACAUGGACUCCCACCUUCAGGCAGGAUUGGGUAGUACAUGUUUGUAACUACCUGGCAUUGCCUUUUGUUGAGGUGGCAGACAAGAAACAUGGAUUAUUGCGUGGAGUUCCAUUAGUAGGAAUAAGACUCAUUCUACAUUCUUGUUGUUCUUAGUGUUUUUUGUUUUUCAUGAGAAGGAAUUGUAUCAGCACAAGGCAAUAUUCUAACAUGACAAUGACAGCAGACAGAACCUCAAUAAACUCUGACUUGGUACUGCAA